GGCAAAAUUCCAACUUAUGUAGAUGGAACAAUACUUAGACAUAAAAUAGCAAAGUGUACUUAUUAAUCACAGAAUCUUUUGAGUUGGAAGGGACCCUUAAAGGUCGUCUAGUCUCAUUCCCUUUCAGUGAACAGGGACACCCACAGCUCCAUCAGGUGCUCAGAGGCCUGUCCAGCCUGACCUUGAAUGUCUCCAGAGACAGGGCAUCCACCACCUCUCUGGGCAACCUGUGCCGAUGCCUCACUGCCCUUAUUGUAUAAAGAUUCUUCCUUAUUUCCCAUCUAAAUCUCCCCUCUUUUAGUUUGAAACCAUUUCCCCUUGUCCUAUCUUCUAUUCCUUAUCUACAUCCCUUUGUCUUUAUCCUACAUGUCUUUCUGACACAGUGAUACAAGGCAGGACAAACUCUGCUGUACUGUAUUGAAGUGCAGAAGCCACGUCCCUGGUGUGGGCAGCAGCAUCUUCAUUAACCUGGCUCACCUGCUUGGGCUGAAGGCACUCACACUCAUCACCUGGGGGCAGCCUCCCAUUGGGAGCAAGGGUGAGGAUCUGAGGCCACCUCUGUAGCUAGCAUGGGGAUGUCUGGGAAAGGACUUCAUUCUACACUGGUGCCCGAUGGAAAAUGAAUCUACUUCAAAGUAUGUUUGUGGUGGAUGGGGGAUCAUAUGCAUGCACUCAUUUGAAAUAGCUGAGUGUUUCUGAUGAAGAAGUCCCAAAGGCACUUAACCCCAAGGACCUUAACCCCAAAGACAAAACCUUUCUACAGAAUGCCCUUCGCUCGGCUAGCUAUGAGAAGAUCAAUGCUGGGAUUGAUAUAUGUCUGAUUUCCAAGCUAACACUGAACAGUGCUUUGAAGUACACUUUUCCUGCUAACAAGUCCACCCACUUUGCUGCUGCUUGAAUCAGUCUUCGACAGUGAAUUUUUCCAUCACUACAAAAACUGUCUUUGUUUUGCUUGAUGUUCAAGUGAGCAUAUGCUGCGAGUGGGAAAAAACCGAAUAUUGCGAAUGAAGGUUUCGUUAAUGAUGAUACAGAGCAGUCUGUGGGUGAAAGAAGGGAAAGCAAAUCCAGGAGCAGUGGACACAGCGAGGGCAGCAGCAGGAGCUGCUCUUCCCCUCUGCCUGUCUGAAGUUUGUUUGCAGGGUGAAUCCCUUUUCUGGCCUCCAAAUCCAGAAGGAAAGCGUUCACUUCCAUGCAAGGGAAGGCGACCCGCGAGUAACAGCAAUGCAGACCUCGUGGUCCCGCUGAGCUCCUCCAUCCUCAGCCUCUCUGAUACGAAGGGCGACGGUGCCCAAAUGAGUGAUGGAAGCCCAAGGUGCCGAGCACCACGGCGUUCACAGCCUUUCCCCGCCGAACUCGAGCAAGGCUGGUGGUGACACAGGAGGCUGUGAGCAGAGCCAUUGGAGGAUGACACCUCAACACCCUGACAUUCCAGAAUCCCAAUAUCACAGAAUCACAGAAUUGUAGGGGAUGGAAGGGACCUCUAGAGAUCAUUGAAUCCAACCCCUCUGCCAAUGCAGGCUCCCUACAGCAGGCUGCACAGGUAGGUGUCCCAGCAGGUCUUGGUAUCCAGAACAUCCUGCAGCUCGGGCAUGCUCUGCUCACUGGUAUAAUGAGGACAGGAUGUGAGUUCUCAAUUUUGCAAAAUCAGAAUCAAAUAGAAAGUAUCUCACUGCUACUGAUUUAUCAGGAAAAAAACUUUCCCUCUCACUGCAGACCUGAGAAGAUUAUAUCUUCUCAUGUAUAGCAGAUAACAGUGGAUGGGGCAGAGAGGACCGGGCUGGAGCUGGUGGAUGCCUGGUAGGUUCAGAAGGUGACACCGCCUGCAAUUGGCAGUGUGCUCUUUGGGGAAACCUAGGGGAUCUGCUGCUUUUAUAAGAUGUCUUGAAAAUCUUUGGAGAGAAGAAAGUGGCAAAGAUUGUUUUCUUCCAUGCCUCUUGCUAGUUGUCCAGAAUAACCUUUAUUGGAUGAAGCUAAUUAUUUCUAGUAAUAUUUUUCCUUUAAUUCCUUUGCAAUUAAACUUCAGCACGCUUUCUCCCAAUGUGUUCAUGCACUGAAGGCUCAGUAAACUCUGGAUAUGUUUACCUGCAUGUAUUCAGGCUGAUGACUGUCCCACUUCCAGCUAAGCCCCUCCCACAAACAACUUGAUUGCACAUUUCCUCAUCACCUUGCCCCGAUGGCUCGAAGAGAAGCCUCAAUCCGUGGAGAGGGACCUGAGCUGCCAGCUGGAAGGCUAUGGAAGAAGAACAGCAAAACCUUCUCCUGAGUGUCCUUCAGCACCCAGUUUGGUUGACAGUGUUGGCUGUGGGUUGUGUGGGAUCGAGCAGGUCCUGCUACAGUGCUGAACACCAGCAUUUCAGCAGCAACAAGGGUUUAUUUCAGAGAAAGAAGGUUGGGCUUUCUGGGACACUGGAUUUGUAGUGCUUAGAGAUCACAACCAACAUCGGAAAUUCCAGGGAGAGCUGGGGUGCCUUUUUCAUAAAUAAUAUGAUCACUGUGUCCUGAGUUUUUAGAGGACCUAGGGUUUCCAUUUUGAUCUCCCCCUCUUUCCCUUAGGACGGAUGCUGCCAUACAUGCAUGAUGACACAGAAAGCCUAGAGGAUAGUCUUACCGCGCAGCUGACAGAUGGCAAGCGCACAGUCCAAGGGACGCUUUACAUCUACAUCAUGCCAGUCAACGAUGAAAUCCCUCAUCUUUCCAGAAAAUGUCUCCAGAUCUGACUCUAGCAGGAUCUGAAUCCCCGUUCUCAGAGCACAGGAAACCUGUUUGAUCACAAAAUACCUGGUGGACUCCAGUUGUGAAGUGUCUCCAUUCCUUGUUUUGAUUUGGAUCAACUUCUUGGAAGCUGAGGCCACUGAGCAAAGCCAUUUCUAGUGCCAGGUCGGAAAAACCAUCCUCCUAUGUUCAGGUGACAUUGUUCUACUCGCCAAACCUGUAACUUUAACAGAGGGUGACAGGGUGACCUUGACGACAGAUGUUCCUGUGGCAACAGAUGGCACUAGCAAACCCGAGAAGCUGCUGUACGCCGUCUCCGUGCCACCUGUGCAUGGUCAGAUUGAGCACAUCAAUUAUCCCGGCGUGCCCAUUCCCAGACACAGCCGGUUGGAUGUGGUGGCCCAGAAGGUCCCCUCAAUCCAUGACAAUAGCCAUGAGGCCAGGAAGGAGCCACUCAGAGGCUGCUGACCCAAAGCGUUGCAGAACCAGAAUGCAAUGCAAGAGAGAGGAGAUGCUCCAGUGAGUGCAAUGGAUAGGAAUGGCAGGAAGUUCCUCAGAGCCCUCGGUCUCGUGCCCUUCCCAGCUGCUUCAGCGCUGGCGUACACAGGGAUUUGUGAUAGGCACAAGGAGUUCAGCAGAAACGCAGGUGCAGCCAGGCCUCCGAGGUGCUCUGCACGGCGCAGGAGUGGGCUCUUCUCCAGGGAGCGCUGAUCCAAGACGAUAAGGCAGACAAAGGGAGAAGAGGGAAAACGGGCACUUGGCAGAGGACUGACAAAUGGCACACAGCGGGACACAGGAGGCACCCACUCCCUGCCCUGUGCAUUGCAUCGUGACACCUUGCAAGUAACAAACCUCCUCCGUACAGCGGGAUGUGGUGGUGCUCCAUGGAGCAGAGGGCCAUAUCCUGAUGCCCAUGGAUGCAGUGAGUGGUGCUGGUGGAAGAGCAGGGCCAGUGGUACUCUGCCCGUGAGCACAGCUGGGAGUAGAGCAGUCUGAGGGCAUGAUUGCACCAAUAUGGUGAAGAUUUCCACUUCAUUCCUUUUUCAUUCGCCAAGUUUUGCAUUUUGGUUGCCUUUAGGCAAAUUCACUCAAAAUCUCCAUCGAAAAUAGCAUCCCAUUUCACCGCUGGAAGUGGAUGAAAAUUUCCUCUGUGAGGAUGGAGGAUUUGCAGGCUCACUUAGUAAAAUGCGAAAGUUUCACUUCGGUCCCCACUUUUUAUGUUUCUAAAUUUGUUUUUUAAAGAUCUCUGCAUCGGUGUUGAACGAUUUAAAAUUCCUCUGGCAAAGUACAGUUUUAUUGCUCCGGAGCUAGCAUAAAGCUGAAUGGGUGGCUGUAUUUCAUGCGAGGAGCUGUGGGAGAGUGCAGCUUGCAAAUGGCAAUAGAGCCCAGAAAUUGAACUCUAGCCUUUCUAUUCAGCACUCUUUUUAUUAUUAAGUCACAGAAUAAGUAAAAUGUUACGGGGACACUUUAAAUCUGCACUUGUUUGUACAGCAUCCAAUGAAUAUGUGAUGGGGAAAGAAAAUGAAAUAUGUGGGGAUGCUGGAAGUAAGGGGAAAGAUUGGGCGUUGAAGGAUCAGGUAUGGGAAAUUACGGUAUAGAGCAAAAUCCAUAUUUCUAGCCUGAAAUAGAACAGGGUUUUGGCAUGCUCUCGUGGCUGUGGGGAACCUUUGGGGCAGGUGCCCUCUGUCUGGUGGCUCAGGGAAUGGGAGGAGGCAGUGAUGGCUAGAAGCUGCCUCCGAUGCAGUGAAAACAAUGUCAUUUUAAUUCUGAAGAUCCCUUUGUGUUCUGAUAUUUAUUUUAUGUUUUUUUUCCGACUUGAAGUAAAGUGGUCUAGGAUUGAAUUGCACAGAACUUCGUAUUGUGCCCAUGAAAAUGUUGGGACAGGUGGCAAAGACAGGUGAGAGUGUGGAGCUAUCAUUUGUACAGGUGUUGAGGUAGGACCUGAAACACGCUGGGGUGAAAGAUGCCUGCAGGCUACCGUUAACACCUCCUAAUGAUAAGAAGACCAAAUGUCUGGCUGAUGCGUCUAAAUUAGACUAAUGAGGCUUUGUUUUGAAAGGCCAGGAAGUUUCAGCUAGCUAAGGUUCACUUGCAGGACUGCAGCUUAGUGCAGGUGGCUUCUGGUACAACAAUAAUCUUACUGUGUUUCAUUAUGGCUCUUUGAGCUGUCGUUUUAAAAAGCCAUAUAUAUCCUGAACACAGCUCUGAGGUCGGAUCUGUGCAUCCUGUGCUCCUGCACACAAGUUGGGCUGUGGGAAGGCUCCUGUCCAUGAGGAGCAGAUCCCUGAGGAGCUCACUUUUCCAGCUCCUAUACCCACCUGCUGCUUUGUCCUGGCCUCAUGACCGUUCUUUGAUUGCCCAGGUGGGGGGAGGUGUGCAUCCCUGUGCCAAACAUGCUGAGAAGGAGUGGAAAGGUCUGACCCCACUGCUGUACUUUUGAGCCUUGUUUUCAAUUCAUUCCAGAUUUCACAAAUUCAUUAUAACUAUUUUUUGCCCUUCUAGCUUGAGAAAAUAACACCAAGUUAGAUAUGAUUGCCUGACAGCAUUUUUACAUGCAAUAGCUGAAAUAAUGCGAACACUGAAGAGCUAUUGCCUGUGCUUUUCCAUGCCCCAAAUGAGGAGCAAAUGACCCAUGAGCUGCCAAUUUCUGGUGUUGUAAAAACCCAGUUUUUGUUUUUUGUAGGUCAGAGAUGGAUGGGUCUGAAAUGUUACAUAGAUGGAAGAAAUAACCAGUGCAGAGAGCCCCAAGAGAAGGAGGUGUUCCCCACAGAGGCAGCUGUUUGUCUGCCAUUACAGUGAGCUGGGUGAAGAGGGAUUUGGAUGGGGCACCCAACCUGCCAACAGCCAUCUGGGCAGUGGCUUAAGAUACGGCGAUGAAAAGAUGACAAGGAGAGGCACUAAGGCUGGAGUCUACAAUGUAAAGGGAAACAUGCCAUGGAUGAAAUCCUGCUGCUUAAGAAGCAUGAGCAGACACUCAGUUAUCAUCAGGGGACUUGAGCUUUUGUGGCAUCCAAGAUCGUUGCAGCUGUGCAUUCAGAUGGUGGCUGGAGAGGGGCAAUAAGGAAACCACAUCCAAGGGGCAGAAGAAGCCCCAGGGACACCAGAGGUGCUCAUCCUCGACCUGCCGUGGAGAGCAAGAGCGAGCCAGCUCUACCCCUUGGCCAAAAUCCGAAAUAAGGAGAAAUAAAUCACAGUGCUCUGUGGGUAUCUGCUCCUUGGGUUUUCCUUUCAGUUGCAUGGUUGGGUUUUGAUGCAAUUAGUUUCUCGUGCUUGUGGACAUGUAAUGUUAGGCAGAGCUUUCAUUAUUUGGGAGCCGCAAACGAGAGAUGAAUGACACAGUUAGGUGCCAAUGUUAGCAUUGGCCCUGGAUAACAAUCAUGUCGGUAACCUGCAUUAAUUGCUCAUGGCAAAAACAAUGGGUUGGUUUUCCUUAGUUAUUGUAAUUACAGAGUC